rnacentral:lncRNA from 1 species
CCGAGAGAAGCUGUAUUCUGGAGAUCAGCUCCAGGUUCUCCCGCAGAGAGCAAGCUCCAGGCACAGGCAAAGGGUGUGGCUUCAGAGAAGAGCGAGGAUCUUGCCAUCUCUUUUACAGGUUAACCCCGUCGCAGGUCACUCCGCUCUGUUAAUUGCAUCCUAACCUUCCUCGGCUCUUCGGCAGCGAAAUCGCAGCAGAGGAGAUGGAGCAGCUUCGUGCGCAUUGCUCAUUUGCGCCAACGUGAAAAGAACUGCCAGGAUGCCCAGGACACCAGCUCCCUGGCUUCUGCGGUGCUUGCACAGUCCUGAAUCAGCCCGAGAGCUGUGGAUCUGCGUCCCCUGGCUGCAUAGCCGACUGCCGGCUCCAUGGAGGGGCCUGUGCCGGAGAACGCACAUGUUGACUUAUUUCUUCAGUCUAGGCCUUUCUUG